rnacentral:rRNA from 1 species
AGAGUUUGAUCCUGGCUCAGGAUGAACGCUAGCGGCAGGCUUAACACAUGCAAGUCGAGGGGCAGCAUGGAGUAGCAAUACUCCGAUGGCGACCGGCGAAAGGGUGAGUAACGCGUGAGCAACAUGCCCGUAGGUGGAGGAUAGUCGAUGGAAACGUCGCGUAAUACUCCGUAACAACAGGGACCGCAUGAUCCUUGUUUAAUAGAUUUAUUGCCUACGGAUUGGCUCGCGUACCAUUAGGUAGUUGGUGAGGUAACGGCCCACCAAGCCGACGAUGGUUAGGGGUUCUGAGAGGAAGGUCCCCCACAUUGGAACUGAGACACGGUCCAGACUCCUACGGGAGGCAGCAGUGAGGAAUAUUGGUCAAUGGCCGG